GGAAUCUUCCGCAAUGGGCGAAAGCCUGACGGAGCAAUGCCGCGUGAGUGAUGAAGGUUUUCGGAUCGUAAAGCUCUGUUGCCAGGGAAGAACGCUUGGGAGAGUAACUGCUCUCAAGGUGACGGUACCUGAGAAGAAAGCCCCGGCUAACUACGUGCCAGCAGCCGCGGUAAUACGUAGGGGGCAAGCGUUGUCCGGAAUUAUUGGGCGUAAAGCGCGCGCAGGCGGUCAUUUAAGUCUGGUGUUUAAUCCCGGGGCUCAACCCCGGAUCGCACUGGAAACUGGGUGACUUGAGUGCAGAAGAGGAGAGUGGAAUUCCACGUGUAGCGGUGAAAUGCGUAGAUAUGUGGAGGAACACCAGUGGCGAAGGCGACUCUCUGGGCUGUAACUGACGCUGAGGCGCGAAAGCGUGGGGAGCAAACAGGAUUAGAUACCCCUG
rnacentral:rRNA from 1 species